CUUGACACUGAACAUUGAGCCUUGAUGUGUAGGAUAGGUGGGAGGCUUUGAAGCGUGGACGCCAGUCUGCGUGGAGCCGACCUUGAAAUACCACCCUUUAAUGUUUGAUGUUCUAACCUGGCGCCGUGAUCCGGCGUGGGGACAGUGUCUGGUGGGUAGUUUGACUGGGGCGGUCUCCUCCCAAAGUGUAACGGAGGAGCACGAAGGUCAGCUAAUCCUGGUCGGACAUCAGGAGGUUAGUGCAAUGGCAUAAGCUGGCUUGACUGCGAGAGUGACGGCUCGAGCAGGUGCGAAAGCAGGUCAUAGUGAUCCGGUGGUUCUGUAUGGAAGGGCCAUCGCUCAACGGAUAAAAGGUACUCCGGGGAUAACAGGCUGAUACCGCCCAAGAGUUCAUAUCGACGGCGGUGUUUGGCACCUCGAUGUCGGCUCAUCACAUCCUGGGGGCUGAAGUAGGUCCCAAGGGUAUGGCUGUUCGCCAUUUAAAGUGGUACGCGAGCUGGGUUUAGAACGUCGUGAGACAGUUCGGUCCCUAUCUGCCGUGGGCGCUGGAGAAUUGAGGGGGGCUGC
rnacentral:rRNA from 1 species